rnacentral:rRNA from 1 species
CGGGGUGAGUAACGCGUGGAUAACCUGCCUCAUACAGGGGGAUAACAGUUAGAAAUGACUGCUAAUACCGCAUAAGCGCACAGGACCGCAUGGUCCGGUGUGAAAAACUCCGGUGGUAUGGGAUGGAUCCGCGUCUGAUUAGCUGGUUGGUGAGGUAACGGCCCACCAAGGCGACGAUCAGUAGCCGACCUGAGAGGGUGGCCGGCCACAUUGGGACUGAGACACGGCCCAAACUCCUACGGGAGGCAGCAG